CGGCCGAGGUGACAACGCAGGCGUUGAGCUGCCCUUCCUUAGAUAAGAGAACAGCGCUUUGCUUUUUAGGAUAAAGUGGAAAUUUGUGUCUGGACAUCUUCAUAAACUUUGGCGCUUCCGUAGGCUGAGGAGCCCAAGCUCUCCAAGACUAACGGUUCAGACACAGGUCUUGGUGCUGUGCUGAACCAAAGCGUUAAUGAUGUUGAACACCUUAAUGAUGUUGAACACCCCAUUAUGUUCCUGAACCGGAAACUACUGGAUUGGGUGACCAGCACCAUGAUGCCCCAGCAUUGAUGGACUAAAAGCCAGAA